CCGCCGCCGGCCCGGCCCGGCCCGGCCCGCUGAGGCGGCGGAAGGAGCUGCCGCGCCCCGCCGCGGCGCGCAGGUGGCGCCGGGGGCCGCCGGGCGGCGGGGCGGGGCGGGGCCCGGAGCCGGAGCCGGAGCCGGAGCCGGAGCAGGGCCGCGGCGCUCGGGAAGGGCCGGGCCGGGCCGGGGCAUUGGCUGGGGCCGCGGGGGCGCCGCCGGCGCGGCGCUGGGGGCGCCUGAAGGGGGAGAAAGCGUCGCGGGCAGCGAGCGCCGAGAGCCGCCGCCGGCAGAGGAGGAACCGGACCGGACCGGACCGGCGCGCGGCUCCGGCGUCGCUGAGGGUCUCCGCGCCGCGGGUGCGUGUGCCGUCCCGUCCCCCCCCCCCCCCCCACCACAAAAUUUACCGAGGUUUUUUGUUUUCUCCAGCAUGAAUAGAGAGGGGAUUUUUUUUUCCAGUUUUUCACUUCAGUUUUUCAUUUUUCAGUUCCGAGGGUUGCGUUAUUUUUCAAGCCGCGGAAAGCGUAGCGGCCAGCGGGGAACGCGAUGCCACAUGAACUGA
rnacentral:lncRNA from 1 species